rnacentral:rRNA from 1 species
CAGUCGCCGCGGUAAUACGUAGGUGGCAAGCGUUGUCCGGAAUUAUUGGGCGUAAAGCGUGCGCAGGCGGUUCUAUAAGACAGAUGUGAAAUCCCCGGGCUCAACCUGGGAACUGCAUUUGUGACUGUAGAGCUGGAGUGCGGCAGAGGGGGAUGGAAUUCCGCGUGUAGCAGUGAAAUGCGUAGAUAUGCGGAGGAACACCGAUGGCGAAGGCAAUCCCCUGGGCCUGCACUGACGCUCAUGCACGAAAGCGUGGGGAGCAAACAGGAUUAGAUACCCCUGUAGUCCCUGUCUCUUAUAC